GACGAACGCUGGCGGCGUGCUUAACACAUGCAAGUCGAACGGUGAAGCGCCUUCCUUUUUGGUGGGUGUGGAUGAGUGGCGAACGGGUGAGUAACACGUGAGUAACCUGCCCCCUUCUUCUGGAUAACCGCAUGACAGUGUGGCUAAUACGGGAUAUUCUGGGUCUGUGGCAUGAUGGGUCUGGGAAAGAUAUGGUUUCGGUGGGGGAUGGGCGCGCGGACUAGCAGCUUGUUGGUGGGGUGAUGGCCUACCACGGCGGUGACGGGUAGCCGGCCUGCGAGGGUGGGCGGUCACACGGCGGAGGAGACACGGCGCAGACUCCGACGGGAGGCAGCAGUGGGGAAUAGUGCACAGUGGGCGCAAGCCUGAUGCAGCGACGCCGCGUGAGGGAUGGAGGCCGGCGGGUUGUGAACCUCUUUCGCGAGUGAAGCAGGCCUGCCUCGUAUGUGGGUGGGUUGACGGUAGCUGGAUAAGAAGCGCCGGCUAACUACGUG
rnacentral:rRNA from 1 species